GAUGAACGCUGGCGGCGUGCCUAAUACAUGCAAGUCGAGCGAACAGAUGAGGAGCUUGCUCCUCUGACGUUAGCGGCGGACGGGUGAGUAACACGUGGAUAACCUACCUAUAAGACUGGGAUAACUUCGGGAAACCGGAGCUAAUACCGGAUAAUAUUUUGAACCGCAUGGUUCAAUAGUGAAAGACGGUUUUGCUGUCACUUAUAGAUGGAUCCGCGCCGCAUUAGCUAGUUGGUAAGGUAACGGCUUACCAAGGCAACGAUGCGUAGCCGACCUGAGAGGGUGAUCGGCCACACUGGAACUGAGACACGGUCCAGACUCCUACGGGAGGCAGCAGUAGGGAAGCUUCCGCAAUGGGCGAAAGCAUGACGGAGCAACGCCGCGUGAGUGAUGAAGGUCUUCGGAUCGUAAAACUCUGUUAUUAGGGAAGAACAAAUGUGUAAGUAACUAUGCACGUCUUGACGGUAACUAAUCAGAAAGCAACGGCUAACUACGUG
rnacentral:rRNA from 1 species